AUCUAGCUGACGAAUCACAAAUAGGACGAAACGCAUGUCCUGGAU
rfam:Schistosoma rodhaini strain Burundi genome assembly, scaffold: SROB_scaffold0006968